rnacentral:ncRNA from 1 species
UGAAAUACCACCCUGGUUCAUUUGAGGUUCUAACCUUGGUCCGUUAUCCGGAUCGGGGACAGUGCAUGGUAGGCAGUUUGACUGGGGCGGUCUCCUCCUAAAGUGUAACGGAGGAGUUCGAAGGUACGCUAGGUACGGUCGGACAUCGUGCUAAUAGUGCAAUGGCAUAAGCGUGCUUAACUGCGAGACCGACAAGUCGAGCAGGUACGAAAGUAGGACAUAGUGAUCCGGUGGUUCUGUAUGGAAGGGCCAUCGCUCAACGGAUAAAAGGUACUCUGGGGAUAACAGGCUGAUUCCUCCCAAGAGUUCAUAUCGACGGGGGAGUUUGGCACCUCGAUGUCGGCUCAUCACAUCCUGGGGCUGUAGCCGGUCCCAAGGGUAUGGCUGUUCGCCAUUUAAAGUGGUACGUGAGCUGGGUUUAAAACGUCGUGAGACAGUUUGGUCCCUAUCUGCCGUGGGCGUUGGAAAUUUGAAGGGGGCUGCUCCUAGUACGAGAGGACCGGAGUGGACGAACCUCUGGUGUACCGGUUGUCACGCCAGUGGCAUUGCCGGGUAGCUAAGUUCGGAAGAGAUAACCGCUGAAAGCAUCUAAGCGGGAAACUUGCCUUGAGAUGAGAUUUCCCGGAGCCUUGAGCUCCUUGAAGGGUCGUUCGAGACCAGGACGUUGAUAGGCUGGGUGUGGAAGUGCAGUAAUGCAUUAAGCUAACCAGUACUAAUUGCCCGUACGGCUUGUCCCU